rnacentral:rRNA from 1 species
AUUGAACGCUGGCGGCAGGCUUAACACAUGCAAGUCGAGCGGAGAUGAGGUGCUCGCACCUUAUCUUAGCGGCGGACGGGUGAGUAAUGCUUAGGAAUCUGCCUAUUAGUGGGGGACAACAUUCCGAAAGGAAUGCUAAUACCGCAUACGUCCUACGGGAGAAAGCAGGGGAUCUUCGGACCUUGCGCUAAUAGAUGAGCCUAAGUCGGAUUAGCUAGUUGGUGGGGUAAAGGCCUACCAAGGCGACGAUCUGUAGCGGGUCUGAGAGGAUGACCCGCCACACUGGGACUGAGACACGGCCCAGACUCCCACGGGAGGCAGCAGUGGGGAAUAUUGGACAAUGGGGGGAACCCUGAUCCAGCCAUGCCGCGUGGGUGAAGAAGGCCUUAUGGUUGUAAAGCACUUUAAGCGAGGAGGAGGCUACUGAGACUAAUACUCUUGGAUAGUGGACGUUACUCGCAGAAUAAGCACCGGCUAACUCUGUGCCAGCCGCCGCCGUAACAC